rnacentral:rRNA from 1 species
GACGAACGCUGGCGGCGUGCCUAAUACAUGCAAGUCGAACGCAGUGGGGACGGGUGAGUAACACGUGGGUAACCUCCCAUCAGAGGGGAUAACACUUGGAAACAGGUGCUAAACCGAUACUGAUGGAUGGACCCGCGGUGCAUUAGAUAGUUGGUGAGGUAACGGCUAACCAAGGCCACGAUGCAUAGGCGACCGGAAAGGGUGAUAGGCAACACUGGGACUGGGACCAGGACCAGACUCCUACGGAAGGGAGCAGUAGGGAAUUGUCGGCAAUGGACGAAAGUCUGACCGAGCAACGCCGCGUGAGUGAAGAAGGUUUGCGGAUCGUAAAACUCUGUUGUUAGAGAAGCGGUAUCUAACCAGAAAGCCACGGCUAACUACGUGCCAGCAGCCGCGGUAAUAC